UGUAGGUGGAAGCAGCAGUGGAGGAGGAGGAUGAGGUAGUCAACACUGUUUUAUAUAUAUAUAUAUAGAUAUAUAUAUAUAUAUAUUUUUUUUUUUUUUAUUGGGGUAGCCCCCAAAAUUUUGGGACAUAUCAAAAAAGACAACUCUGUUUUGCAGCGUAGCCGUUGACAUUAUAGUUGCACAGGCACUUUGUUGACUCUAGAGAACCUCGGGCCAAUUGCACAUCCCUGUGGUGGCGACUUUGCAUGCGGAUGUCAUCCAUAUCAACUUUCGAUGCCAGUUUCUGCGCCUACCAUGGUGACCAUGGGUAACAGGGAAUCAGGGUUCCAUUCCAUACAGGGACCCUGAGAAACGGCUACCACAUGCAAGAAAGGCAGCA